AACGAACGCUGGCGGCAUGCCUAACACAUGCAAGUCGAACGAGACCUUCGGGUCUAGUGGCGCACGGGUGCGUAACGCGUGGGAACCUGCCCUUAGGUUCGGAAUAACUCCCCGAAAGGGGUGCUAAUACCGGAUAAUGUCUUCGGACCAAAGAUUUAUCGCCUUUGGAUGGGCCCGCGUUGGAUUAGCUAGUUGGUAGGGUAAAAGCCUACCAAGGCGACGAUCCAUAGCUGGUCUGAGAGGAUGAUCAGCCACACUGGGACUGAGACACGGCCCAGACUCCUACGGGAGGCAGCAGUAGGAAAUAUUGGACAAUGGGCGAAAGCCUGAUCCAGCAAUGCCGCGUGAGUGAUGAAGGCCUUAGGGUUGUAAAGCUCUUUUACCCGGGAUGAUAAUGACAGUACCGGGAGAAUAAGCUCCGGCUAACUCCGUG
rnacentral:rRNA from 1 species